CAGUUUUGUAAGAUUUGAAGUAUACUACAAGUGCACAUUCAAUACAAUUAGCUUCACACAGGUUGGGCACGAGCUGUAAAAUUACUCUAUAUAAAAUGUUUGCAGUUCAUAAACAAUUUUAACUACAGGCUAAUCAUGUGAUUAGUGAGAUUUUUUGCAUAAAAUAUUCCAUAAAGUUUUUUUUUUUUUUUUUUUUUUAACUUAGACCUGUAAGCAACCACUACUAGCAAUUGCAUCGCACAACCACAACUGCUAAGCAUUAUGUUUUUCCUAGAUCCUUUAUAUCUAAAAAUUAGCAGUGAUAUUGUAGCUUUUUUCCCCUUUAAUUCUGCCAGACUAAACCCAGGAGUCAAGCAAUAAAUAAGUAAACAGGAAACAUAUCACUGAGCAGCGCAUGAAUCAUUUGCAGGUAAAAAUAAUCUGCUUCCUCCCAGUUCAAACCGAUGAGAGGAAGUAGGAGUCAGACUUCAUGAGGAGCAUCGUUCACGGAUAAUACACAAAGUCUCAACGGAUAUUCAGCUGAGGCUUUGGCAGCAUGCCACUCCGCCAAUGUUCAGUAGCCUGCAGGUUCAAGGAGUGCAGAAGCCAGGAAGUGUUGAAGGCAACGAGUUUCACCCCUGACCAUAGAGAGUAUGAAUGAAUGUAGAAAACAACAGUCUCUGGCACGCCACAUUAACAGCAAGGUAAUGCAGUAUUCAUGAAUGUAAUACCCAGAACAUCACUGUCCGUUGUGAGAUC
ensembl:lncRNA